GCUGGCGUCGGACGCUCGGGAACGUUCAUCGCCCUGGACAGGAUAUUGUUCAGCAUAAGAACAAACGACUACGUGGACAUCUACGGCAUAGUCUAUGAGAUGAGACGACAGAGAGUCUCCAUGGUACAAACAGAGAAGCAGUAUAUAUGUAUUCACCAGUGCCUUCUGUCUGUCCUGGAGGGAACGGAGAACGAGCACCCGUUAACAGAAAUUCAUGAUAAUCAGGGUUACGAAGAUGACGAAGGAAUAGCCGAGUCGAGCAUGUGACAGGAGGCGUAUGGGUUGCAUUCACUUGCGACCUAUACAAAGUAUGGAAAUGAUGUGACUUUGGCAAAGAACAGACCCUGAAGAUGCGUGUGUGGGGAAUCUCUGAAGAAGAGUGUACAGAAAACUAUAUUUUUAUAGUAAUUUAUCUUAACUAUUCCAGACUUAAUAUGGUUUGUUAUCAGACUUCUGUCAUAUAUAUGUAUGAGUAUAUAAUAGUGUUAUAUAUGUACUUAUGUAUAUAUGUAUGUAUGUAUAUAUAUAUAUAUAUAUAUAUAUAUAUAUAUAUAUAUAUAUAUAUAUAUAUAUAUAUAUAUAUAUAUAUACAGUGUAUACAUGUCACCCUGUAUGUCGGUGUAUGUUUGGAGUUGAAUUUAUCAAAUGAAAUAUAUUGUAAACACUUUUUCUUUUAAUUAUCUGUUGAAUUAUCAACAGUCCUUGUGCUAUUUGCAAAGUAAUGACGUGAUGUUCAUGGUGAUCAAAACAGCUGAUAUUAUCUUGUAGUAUAGCCAAUCAAUGUUUCUAUGACCUUUAUGUAAAUAUAUUGUAAAAAAUGUAAAAAAAAAAUACAAAGACAAGAUUUCCUAUUAAGAGUAAAUUCUUGUUAUAUUAUUCAUGUAAUACUUAUCGUAGGAUUUGAUUUAAGAGGAAGAGUAAUUGGUAAGCUAAACCAAGGUGCUAUCGUAUCUGAGAUUCUUUCUUUGAUAAGAAAACAGGAGAAACGAAAUCCGUCCUUAUUUCAUUUUAUUUCACUUCAGUUUCCUUAUUAAUGAUUAGUUUUAUGGUAUCUUUCUUUUUUUUUCUUCUUUUCUUUGUUCUUUCGAAUAUCUUUUAUGUAUAUGUUGAAUUUUCUUAAUCUCUUUUAUUUCGAAUUUUCUUCAUUUUUUUUAAUAGAGUAUAUUGCUGAACAAAUAUGCGUGAUUAAGUUGUAUUUGUUUGUCCUCAUGAUUUACCUCAUACUGUUGAUGGAAAAUAUUAGACCUAUUUAGUAAUGCUCAUAAAAGCCAGAAAAUAUUUGCAUAAUUGUGAAUUCAGGCCUUUAAUCCAUCACUUCUAAAUGUAAAUCUAAUGAAUACUUUUUACUCAUGUGCAACACGUCUGGAAAACAAAUGUAUAUAUUCACAAUGAAUAAUGAAUAAGUUUUUUUGUUCCCAGACGAGACUUAUUGAUAGAAAAGACUUGAGAUUAUGAGAUUAUGCAUUACUUUAUUGGGACCACAAGAAAAUCAGUGAAUAGCUGUGUCAGGUUUCAGUGGAUGUUAUUUGUGUAGGUAAUGCCUGUAGGUGUAUAUUGAUUUUGUAUAUGUCUUUUAUCCCUUAGAGUCUUGUCAUUCUUGGACGAAAGUGUGUCUCAGAUUAGGAAAUUACUAUAUAUAUAUGUUUUUCCUUUUUUUUUGGUAUGUGUGUGAGACUGCAAGAUUUACUUGUGUAAAUGCUCACGUGUUUAGCCACUGGAUUGUAAACAUUACCAAAGUUACUUUUCACAAGAGCUAACCGUGUGCUUGGAAAAAAUCCUGCUUUUGCACUAAUGAAGCCGAUGGUUCUAUGGAGAGUUCCUGGUGCAAUAUCAUUUAAAUGACGGAAACGAAAAUUAAAAAGAAUAAGAGUGAAAGAUCGAAAACCUGCAUCUCUGUGUUAGAAGUGUCUCCCAUAUUUGAUUAGCUUUUUAUAUCAGUGUAUGUACCACUUGUAGAUUUUUUGUAUCUGUAUCCUUUUGAAUGUGUUUUCAUUUUAUUCAAAUACAACUUUGUGCGUUCAUGUUUGUGUGUGUGUGUGUGUGUGUCUGUGUGUGUGUGUGUGUGUGUGCGUGCGUCUGUGCGUGCGUGCGUGCUUGUCUCAAUUCUACGUAAGGAGAUAUUUGAUCACCACUUAAUAGAGAUAAAAGUAACAAGGUGAUUACCUAAUUCCCGCGUGACAAUAGAACUUUAAAAACAUAUUAAAAUUCUCAGUUCCCUAAUAUGUUCCUCUAAUUUGCAUUGAGUGUUUUGUCUCAGCAAACUGAAGCCGCAUAAUAGUUGCAGGUCCUUCUCAUAUCAACCAUCUGAUUAUCAUAAGUAAUAACGAUAAGGUAAUUGUAGCCUUUGAUAAUCGACUGAAAGUGAAACUGAAGUUUAAAACAAGUUAUCAAUAUUUAUUUCAACUUUAGACUCGGGUUUAAAGUUUUUGUAUGUCUCUGUAUAUUAUGCCAUGUUUAUGGAUAUUGUUUAUAAAUAAAGUGUUACCAUUAUGAAA
rnacentral:lncRNA from 1 species